rnacentral:rRNA from 1 species
CUACGGGAGGCAGCAGUAGGGAAUUUUCGGCAAUGGGCGAAACCCUGACCCAGCAACGCCGCGUGAGCGAAGAAGGCUUCGGGUCGUAAAGGUCUGUUGUAAAGGAAGAACGUCGGAUACAGGAAAUGGUGU